CACACUGACUCACCUCCUGCUUUUCCCAGAUUUCACACGAUCAAGAGGACUGUGUAUCCUUCAAAGUUCACCAGUUCUUUAAUGUGGGGCUCAUCCAGCCGGGGGCAGUCAAGGUGUACUCCUAUUACAACCUGGAUGAGACUUGUACCCAGUUCUACCACCCGGAGAAGGAAGAUGGAAUGCUGAGCAAACUCUGCCACAAUGAAAUAUGCCGCUGUGCUGAGGAGAACUGCUUCAUGCACCAUUCAGAGGACCAGGUCACCCCAGAAGACCGGGUGGACAAGGCCUGUGAGCCAGGAGUGGACUAUGGUGAGGAACGGGUGGGGAGACACACGUGCAUGUGUGAUUGUGUGUGAGUGAUGGUGUGUGUGGCUGUGGUUGUGUGGGUGAGACUAUGUGAUGGCAGGUGUGGUCAUGGUUGUGUGUGUGUGACUGACUGUGAGUGUCCACAGGUUCAUGUGUUUCAGGCUAUGGUUGUGGGUGACUAGUGUGUGUGUUAUUAGAGGCCAUGCUUGCUGGGGAACCAUGGUUAUGACUGGGCUGGGUACGUGCAAGAGUGUGAACAAAUGAGGUUGUGAGUGUCUGUGAGAGUGUGGUUGUAAAUAGCCA